rnacentral:rRNA from 1 species
UGCGUAGGCGGAUAGGUAAGUCAGAGGUGAAAUCCUACAGCUUAACUGUAGAAUGGCCUCUGAUACUGCUUGUCUUGAAUUAGGUUGAGGUCAGCGGAAUGUGGCAUGUAGCGGUGAAAUGCAUAGAUAUGCCAUAGAACACCAAUUGCGAAGGCAGCUGGCUAGGCUUUAAUUGACGCUGAGGCACGAAAGCGUGGGGAGCGAACAGGAUUAGAUACCCUGGUAGUCC